AACUCCUCCCUUACAUAUAUUUUUUUUAUGGAAUGAUAUGAUCAGCUAGUCGUAGCCGCAAAUCAGCUACGCUCAAUGCGGGAUUCUGUUGGAUAAGAUCUUUUAACUUGCGUUAGUAAUCUUAGGCCCCUUUAUUAGGUGAUUCACUACCUAAGCGAAGAAAAGGCUGGAUCAAUCAAAGGGGGUACUACGAGCCCUCUGCCCCACGCAUCUAACCAGCUCGCGUGGUUCACCGGUUCCACCGACUAGACCAAAAGAGUGAUUCAGUCGAUACAGAGGUGCGCUUGAAGUGGGGGGUGUGCUGUCCCUAUUGGGCUGGGCCCUUCCGG
rnacentral:lncRNA from 1 species